rnacentral:rRNA from 1 species
UACGGAGGGUGCAAACGUUGCUCGGAAUCAUUGGGCGUAAAGCGCACGUAGGCGGCUCGUUAAGUCGGAUGUGAAAGCCCCGGGCUCAACCCGGGAAGUGCAUACGAAACUGGCGAGCUGGAGUAUGGAAGAGGGUCGCGGAAUUCCCGGUGUAGAGGUGAAAUUCGUAGAUAUCGGGAGGAACACCAGUGGCGAAGGCGGCGACCUGGGCCAAUACUGACGCUGAGGCGCGAAAGCGUGGGGAGCAAACAGG